GGAGAUGUAACUCAAUGGUAGAGCACUUGCCUAGUAUGCCUGACGCCCCAGGUUCAAUUCCCAGCACCACCA
rnacentral:tRNA from 1 species